AACGGUCUAUACCUGCGGUACCUGCGGAGGGAUCAUUAUCGAGUUAGGGUCUUCACGGGCCUGACCUCCCAACCCUAUGUUUACCAAACCUAUGUUGCUUCGGCGGGCCCGUCUCACGACCGCCGGGGGACGGUAAGACGUCCUCUGGCCCGUGCCCGCCGGUGGCCAACCAUCCAAAUUCUGAUUCAAACAUGUUAACCUGUCUGAGUGUCAGUUUUUAAUUAAAGCAAAACUUUUAGC
rnacentral:misc_RNA from 1 species